UACGUAGGGUGCAAGCGUUGUCCGGAAUUAUUGGGCGUAAAGAGCUCGUAGGCGGUCUGUCGCGUCUGCUGUGGAAAUCCCCGAGGCUCAACCUCGGGUCUGCAGUCGAUACGGGGCGGACUGGAGUUCGGCAGGGGGAGACUGGAAUUCCUGGUGUAGCGGUGAAAUGCGCAGAUAUCAGGAGGAACACCGGUGGCGAAGGCGGGUCUCUGGGCCGAUACUGAC
rnacentral:rRNA from 1 species